GAGCUUGCUCCUUUGACGUUAGCGGCGGACGGGUGAGUAACACGUGGGUAACCUACCUAUAAGACUGGGAUAACUUCGGGAAACCGGAGCUAAUACCGGAUAACAUUUGGAACCGCAUGGUUCUAAAGUGAAAGAUGGUUUUGCUAUCACUUAUAGAUGGACCCGCGCCGUAUUAGCUAGUUGGUAAGGUAACGGCUUACCAAGGCGACGAUACGUAGCCGACCUGAGAGGGUGAUCGGCCACACUGGAACUGAGACACGGUCCAGACUCCUACGGGAGGCAGCAGUAGGGAAUCUUCCGCAAUGGGCGAAAGCCUGACGGAGCAACGCCGCGUGAGUGAUGAAGGGUUUCGGCUCGUAAAACUCUGUUAUUAGGGAAGAACAAAUGUGUAAGUAACUGUGCACAUCUUGACGGUACCUAAUCAGAAAGCCACGGCUAACUACGUGCCAGCAGCCGCGGUAAUACGUAGGUGGCAAGCGUUAUCCGGAAUUAUUGGGCGUAAAGCGCGCGUAGGCGGUUUCUUAAGUCUGAUGUGAAAGCCCACGGCUCAACCGUGGAGGGUCAUUGGAAACUGGGAAACUUGAGUGCAGAAGAGGAAAGUGGAAUUCCAUGUGUAGCGGUGAAAUGCGCAGAGAUAUGGAGGAACACCAGUGGCGAAGGCGACUUUCUGGUCUGUAACUGACGCUGAUGUGCGAAAGCGUGGGGAUCAAACAGGAUUAGAUACCCUGGUAGUCCACGCCGUAAACGAUGAGUGCUAAGUGUUAGGGGGUUUCCGCCCCUUAGUGCUGCAGCUAACGCAUUAAGCACUCCGCCUGGGGAGUACGACCGCAAGGUUGAAACUCAAAGGAAUUGACGGGGACCCGCACAAGCGGUGGAGCAUGUGGUUUAAUUCGAAGCAACGCGAAGAACCUUACCAAAUCUUGACAUCCUUUGAAAACUCUAGAGAUAGAGCCUUCCCCUUCGGGGGACAAAGUGACAGGUGGUGCAUGGUUGUCGUCAGCUCGUGUCGUGAGAUGUUGGGUUAAGUCCCGCAACGAGCGCAACCCUUAAGCUUAGUUGCCAUCAUUAAGUUGGGCACUCUAGGUUGACUGCCGGUGACAAACCGGAGGAAAGGUGGGGAUGACGUCAAAUCAUC
rnacentral:rRNA from 1 species